rnacentral:rRNA from 1 species
CCCUUAGAUGUUCUGGGCCGCACGCGCGCUACACUGUUCGACGCAGCGAGUCUUAACCUUGACCGAAAGGUUUGGGUAAUCUUCAGCAAAGUCGAACGUGAUGGGGAUCGAUCAUUGCAAUUAUUGAUCGUGAACGAGGAAUUCCUAGUAAGUGCAAGUCAUCAGCUUGCGCUGAUUACGUCCCUGCCCUUUGUACACACCGCCCGUCGCUACUACCGAUUGAAUGGUUUAGUGAGAUCUCGGGAUUGGAGACGUUGCGCCGCAAGGCACAUCGUCCUCGAGAACUUGAUCAAACUUGAUCAUUUAGAGGAAGUAAAAGUCGUAACA